GACGUAGGUGGCGAACGUUAUCCGGAAUUAUUGGGCGUAAAGGGUGCGUAGGCGGCAUGAUAAGUUAUUGGCGGCAAAUCGAGGCUCAACCUCGUGGAAACUGAUAAUACUGUCUUGCUUGAGUGCAGAAGAGGUUAACGGAACUCCAUGUGGAGCGGUAAAAUGUGUAGAUAUAUGGAAGAACAUCAAUAACGGCGAAGGCAGUUAACUAUUCUGUUACUGACGUUGAGGCACGAAAGCGUGGUGAGCAAAAAGG
rnacentral:rRNA from 1 species